CGACCGCUGGCGGCGUGCUUAACACAUGCAAGUCGACCGGUAAGGCUCCAGCUUGCUGGGGUACACGAGUGGCGAACGGGUGAGUAACACGUGGGUGACCUGCCCUGCACUUCGGGAUAAGCCUGGGAAACUGGGUCUAAUACCGGAUAGGACCAUGGUGUGGAUACUGUGGUGGAAAGUUUUUUCGGUGUGGGAUGGGCCCGCGGCCUAUCAGCUUGUUGGUGGGGUAAUGGCCUACCAAGGCGGCGACGGGUAGCCGGCCUGAGAGGGUGGACGGCCACAUUGGGACUGAGACACGGCCCAGACUCCUACGGGAGGCAGCAGUGGGGAAUAUUGCACAAUGGGCGGAAGCCUGAUGCAGCGACGCCGCGUGGGGGAUGACGGCCUUCGGGUUGUAAACUCCUUUCACCAUCGACGAAGGGUUUCUGACGGUAGAUGGAGAAGAAGCACCGGCUAACUACGUG
rnacentral:rRNA from 1 species